ACUUUCUGUGGCUCAGUGAUAAAAUGCUCGCCUGCCACGCGGGCGACCCGGGUUCGACUCCCGGCCAAUGCA